rnacentral:ncRNA from 1 species
CCUUCAGGGCAGGGUGAAAUUCCCGACCGGCGGUGAGCGCCCCGUGCGCAAGUCCGCGACGCCGCAAGGCUUGAACCGGUGCAAUUCCGGUACCGACGGUGACAGUCCGGAUGGGAGAAGGAG